GACAACGCUGGCGGCGUGCCUAACACAUGCAAGUCUGACGGGAAAGUCUCCUUCGGGAGACGAGUACAGUGGCGGACGGGUGAGUAACGCGUGGGAAUCUACCCGGUAGUGGGGGAUAACCCUUCGAAAGGGGGGCUAAUACCGCAUAAGUCCUACGGGGUAAAGAUGGCCUCUUUACAAUGCUAUCGCUUCCGGAUGAGCCCGCGUCCUAUUAGCUAGUUGGUGAGGUAAUGGCUUACCAAGGCCACGAUGGGUAGCCGGUCUGAGAGGAUGAACGGCCACACUGGGACUGAGAUACGGCCCAGACUCCUACGGGAGGCAGCAGUGGGGAAUCUUGCGCAAGUGGGGGGAACCCUGACGCAGCAACGCCGCGUGGAUGAUGAAGGCCUUCGGGUCGUAAAGUCCUGUUCUGGGGGAAGAACUGUAAGAGGGCUAAUACCCCUCUUACUUGACGGUACCCCAGCAGAAAGCUCCGGCCAAUUAUGUG
rnacentral:rRNA from 1 species